UACAGAGACUGCAAGCGUUUAUUCGGAUUCACUGGGCGUAAAGGGUGCGCAGGCGGCCAAGUGUGUGAGGCGUGAAAGCCCGGGGCUUAACCCCGGAAUUGCACCUCAAACUACAUGGCUAGAGCAUUGGAGAGGGUAGCGGAAUUCACGGUGUAGCAGUGAAAUGCGUAGAUAUCGUGAGGAACACCAGAGGCGAAGGCGGCUACCUGGACAAUUGCUGACGCUCAGGCACGAAAGCGUGGGGAGCAAAAGGG
rnacentral:rRNA from 1 species